CCUACGGGAGGCUGCAGUGGGGAAUAUUGGACAAUGGGGGGAACCCUGAUCCAGCCAUGCCGCGUGUGUGAAGAAGGCCCUCGGGUUGUAAAGCACUUUCAGUGAGGAAGAACGCCUGGUGGUUAAUACCCAUCAGGAAAGACAUCACUCACAGAAGAAGCACCGGCUAACUCCGUGCCAGCAGCCGCGGUAAUACGGAGGGUGCGAGCGUUAAUCGGAAUUACUGGGCGUAAAGCGCGCGUAGGUGGCUUGAUAAGCCGGUUGUGAAAGCCCCGGGCUCAACCUGGGAACGGCAUCCGGAACUGUCAAGCUAGAGUGCAGGAGAGGAAGGUAGAAUUCCAGGUGUAGCGGUGAAAUGCGUAGAGAUCGGGAGGAAUACCAGUGGCGAAGGCGGCCUUCUGGACUGACACUGACACUGAGGUGCGAAAGCGUGGGUAGCAAACAGGAUUAGAUACCCUGGUAGUC
rnacentral:rRNA from 1 species